UUUUGCCUGCUGCCAUGUAAGACGUGCCUUUCACCUUCUACCAUGAUUGUAAGGCCUCCCCUGCCACGUGGAACUGUGAACCUGGGUCGUGUGUAACAUGCAUGUUUGUUCCCUAGCCUGCAUCAGGACCACCUUCAUGAAUAUCCAUAGCUCCUGUUGAAUAUGUAUGUUUAGCUAACUCAUUCAUCAUAUAUCUUCUACCCCAAUCCCUUCUCCUUCAAAGUGCCUGUCUUUGGUGUAGCCCUCCCAGCUUGCCAGAUGGCCACCUUGCAGGUUGUAACCCUUUAUAAGAAAUAAAGUCUCCUUUUCCAAAUUUA
rnacentral:lncRNA from 1 species